rnacentral:rRNA from 1 species
GACGUAGGGCGCGAGCGUUGUCCGGAAUUAUUGGGCGUAAAGAGCUCGUAGGCGGUCUGUCGCGUCGGAUGUGAAAGCCCGGGGCUUAACCCCGGGUCUGCAUUCGAUACGGGCAGACUAGAGUGUGGUAGGGGAGAUCGGAAUUCCUGGUGUAGCGGUGAAAUUCGUAGAUAUCAGGAGGAACACCGGUGGCGAAGGCGGCUUUCUGGACGACAACUGACGCUGAGACGCGAAAGCGUGGGGAGCAAACAGG